rnacentral:tRNA from 1 species
GCUCGAUUAGUGUAGCGGUUAUCGUCAGUAUUUUCAUUUCCGGCGACCCUGGUUCGAUUCCAGGAUCGAGCU